rnacentral:rRNA from 1 species
AUUGAACGCUGGCGGCAGGCCUAACACAUGCAAGUCGAGCGGAUGAAGGGAGCUUGCUCCUUGAUUCAGCGGCGGACGGGAGAGUAAUGCCAAGGAAUCUUCCUGCUAGUCGUGGAUAACGUCCGGAAACGGGCGCUAAUACCGAAUACGUCAUGAGGGAGAAUGUGGGGGAUCUUCGGACCUCACGCUAUCAGAUGAGCCUAGGUCGGAUUACCUAGUUGGUGGGGUAAAGGCCUACCAAGGCGACGAUCCGUAACUGGUCUAAGAGGAUGAUCAGUCACACUGGAACUGAGCACCGGUCCAGACUCCUAGGGGGGCCAGCAGUGGGGAAUUUUGGACAAUGGGCGAAAGCCUGAUCCAGCAAUGCCGCGUGUGUGAAGAAGGUCUUCGGAUUGUAAAGCACUUUAAGUUGGGAGGAAGGGCAGUAAGUUAAUACCUUGCUGUUUUGACGUUACCAACAGAAUAAGCACCGGCUAACUUCGUG